UACGUAGGGUCCGAGCGUUGUCCGGAAUUAUUGGGCGUAAAGGGCUCGUAGGCGGUUUGUCGCGUCGGGAGUGAAAACCUACAGCUUAACUGUGGGCUUGCUUUCGAUACGGGCAGACUUGGGGCAUGCAGGGGGAGAACGGAAUUCCUGGUGUAGCGGUGAAAUGCGUAGAUAUCGGAAGGAACAUCAGUGGCGAAAGCGACUUCCUGGACCAGUACCGACGUUCAGGCACGAAAGCGUGGGGAGCAAACAGGA
rnacentral:rRNA from 1 species